UGGUAAUAAUAUUGUGCCACUCAGGCUUUGAACAAAACUGUGUAUAGUUUUCACAAAUUAAUGCUGUAGCUUGUUGUUGCUUGUUUUACUUUACUAUCAGUUCCUUUCCCUAACGCUUAAAUAUUUCACAUUUUUCUUUUGUUGGCUUCCUUUGAAAUGUGUGCAUUGCAGUCGGCAGGCCUAGUAAUUGAAGAUACGCAUGAGCAAAUGAUGUAAUUGGAAUUGAAAGGUAGAAGUUUAUUCUUAUAAUAAAACAAAAAACCCCCUAUACAUGUAUUGAACUCUUUGAUGUUUAGAAAAGUAUGUAUUUGGGGAUUGACAGAAAAAUACUGGCCAUCUUCACAUAUUUCCAUGCAAAUGCGGUACACUAUUAAGUGCCAAUGGGGGUUAUCAGCAGUAUUAAACAUUCGUUCAGACAUUGGCCAUUUCCAGGAAAGUUUAGUUUUGCAAAGUUUUCAUUAAAGGGAAGGGGAAAGGACCGGGGAUUGCUUCGGUAAUGUGAUGCAGACUGCUAAACCUCCAAUUAACACUGAGAGUUAAUUGGAUAUGCAAGAAGUCUAGACCAGAACAAUAAUUCAUGGAUAAUCAAAAUGCUGAAUUUAUUAAUUUCUCCUUGGUCCAUACAUAUCUUACUGGCAGAAUUGCUUUAUUUGACUUUGAAAGGUUAUCCUUUAGAGUCCAGGCAUGGCCAAACAUGGCCCUUCAGCUGUUUUGGGACUACAACUCCCAUCAUGUCUAGCUAGCAGGACCAGUGGUCAGGGAUGCUGGGAAUAGUAGUCCCAAAACAGCUGGAGGGCCAAGUUUGGCCAUGCCUGCUUUAAACUGUUCUCAAUCUGUGGAGGGCAAACAUGGACACAUACCAUAUUUACUUGAAUCUAGUGCUCAGCAUUUUUGCAAAAAUCAAGGUGCGCAUUGGAUUCGAUGACACAUUUGCCAGCAAGUACUUGUUUGGGUUUCAAGGUUCUGAAAAUUGAGGUGCACGUUAUAGAUUCGAUGGUGCAUUAGACUUGGGAGUAAAUACGGUACAUUGUCCCUGACCGGCAUGUGUUGGAGCAACCUCAAAGUUCCAUGUACUGCUGGAAAGGGUUUCUAAGCCCACACCGUGGAACGUUCUCAAGUGUCUUCCCAUGACAGGCAACUUGUUCCCCUUAAAUCCCACUUCCAUGGGUCUUGCUGUUCUGCACUAUUCUAAUAGCCUUAGAUUGCGUGACCCUUGAGGAUAGAACCUUUGGAAAAUAGGAUGAAAGCUCUUCCGAGCCCAUGGGAUAAAGCAGGACAGAGCAUGCUGCUGAAAACCAUUCAUUAAGGAACAACUAUUGCCUUCAUGCUCUGAUUGUGGACUUCCUAUAGGCAUCAUCUCUUGCUCCUGGGCAAGGCCUUCAGCUUCCUGUAACUCUAUAGUCCAAAGGUGGAAUCCAGCUAAUAUGUUCCAUAAAUGCAAAGAUGGCACACUAGAACUUCCCUUUCUUGGGUUUGUGCUCCGCCUCCUCCCCAAAAUCUUCUCUAGAGGGUUGAGGGAACACCUAGGACAGAUUUAGGGAUGUGUGUGUGUGUGUCCAUUGUUCAAGUGGAAAUCUUUUGUGCUGACCAUCCCGUUUUCCUGGUUUGGGCUUUAAACACCCCUCCAACAUAUUUAUGGCACAAAAGCAGAUCCCCACUCAGUGUGUACUCACCCCUGCUCUCUCCCUGCACCUAUUUAGGCACGCAGCAGUUCUGCACAGAGAUCUAGCCACGCUUGGCUGCCAAAUGUAUGAUGUCUGUUUCUUGCAUUCACACCUUUUAAGUAUUUUUGUUUUUUUAAAAAAACAACACAGCCACCUUACACUCUUAAAGAAAAUGUAUGAAAGAGCUGCUGGCACAUUUUAGCCAUUCGAGCAACUGAAAGCACUUCAAACCAACACUUGAGAAGCACUUGCCUCCUCACUUCCAGCCCCUCUCUGAAGACUGGAGAAGAGACCCUCUUAAGAAUAUUAGAGGGGUGGGCAGGGGAAGGACUAGACUAUGUGAAAAAUGAACAUAAUAUUUUAGCCACUGUUCAUUCAUUUUCAGCCUUAUUUUUAAAAAAGCGUGCCUGGACAUUCCGUUGUUGUGCCCACAACCUCAGUUUAAGGUGCCAUUUAGCUCCUUGCUUUCAUAUCUCCAUUUCUAACACUGGGUACAAUAUAUAAGAGACUUGAAACAGUAGAACUUAAAACACUUGCAGCCCAGAAACCCUGACUGCACGGUGCCAUCAUCAGGGCAAGAUGUUGAAUCUGUACAAUCACCAGCUAAAAACUGAUUCUAUACUUAAGCUAUCAUUCCGUUUUGACAGAUAUCCCAGUUUUGCAAGUUAAAAGUCAUUGGAUAAACUGGCCUAUAGCAAAACAGUUACCUUUAAGUGCAUUCAGGCAAAAUGUUUUGAAGAAUGAGACAUUCGAUACAGAUUUUGUGAUACAGAUUUUAUUGCCCUCUCCAACUUUUUCCCCUCCAGGGAACUCAUGUCUGUUGAAUGAAGGUUAAACUGUGCCAAGAAAGUGCACCUGACCUCAGACCUACACAUGCCUUCUGUUAGAGGUUUUAGAUGUAGUCAUCAUUAAAGUGCAUUCCCCUAGCAUUCUUCAGUCACUGCAGAUCACGAGUUCCACUCUCAGAACAAGACUACAAAUGAUUUUUUUCUUCCAGAGCAGGCAUUCAUUACGAGUAUUGCAAAUAACGGUUCUAUAAAAAGGACAGCUGGGAAAUACAAAAUGCAAAGAUGCUAACCGAUGUCUCUUUGGGAGGCAGAGAACAUAUUAUUUGGCUCCAACUUCCCAUGGCUGUACAAAGAGUGGCAGUGUAUUAAAAAAAUAAAAAAGCAGAGUAAUCAUCUCAAUUAUUGGGAGCUGACAAAUAAGGCUUUGCCAGUAAAAAUAAAUGGCCCAAUUAUUACAAAUUUCAGUAUUUGCAUUACAUUUGUCUCAAAGCAUUUCAUUAAUGAUAUCCAUCCACUAAGAUGAGCUGAAAUGUACCAGGACAGGCCAUUUGUUCAGCCUGCCAAUUUGUCAAAUGUGCUGUGCUUGAAGCUUUCAGCUCCUAAUUAAAAGAUGUUGAGCACCACACAGUAUGGGAUGGCUCUGAAAUUAAUGCAGAAGCUGGAAUGAUUUCCGGGGUUUAUCACACUUUGUCUGAGAAGAUUACCAUGAUGAAAAAUGAUGUGAGAAAUAAAAACUUUUAAAAAACCCAAAACAUAAUAAUCAAGAUUUUUUUUGUUUGUUUUAGAGGCGCUCUAGCUUUUCAUUUAAGAAUUCUUCUACGCUGUCUGUAUUC